rnacentral:lncRNA from 1 species
UACCAUAAUAAAUAUAUAUAUUAUUGAAAUUUUCGGACUAAAAUCGUCAAUUUGAGAUUAAGCGAUCCAACAUUGUUGAAAAUCUUUAUGAUCAAGCUACCUCAUGGAGGAUCUAAUGGCUUUUGUAACUCAUCAAUUUUGAUACAAAUUCAUCAAUACUCUUAUCAGAAGAUCCACCUUCACUAAUAGCCAAGCAAGCCAAACCCUUCAACUUCUCACAAUUGCUCCUCAUUUCCUUUCCCUUUUCACCUUCCAUCACUUCCCUCACACAUCUCUCCACUUCAUCCCCACUCACAAUUCCAUCCUCCCCGACCGUAACCCUAAUCCCGACCUUCCAGACUCGCUCAACAAGCAUUGCGUUGGGUGGCUGGUCUGUCCACUGCGGCAUCGCCACCAUGGGUACUCCCAGGCUUAAGGCCUCGAUCGUUGAGUUCCACCCAGAGUGUGUGAAAAAGCAACCCACGGCCCCGCUGGCUAGGAUCUGGACCUGUGGGGCCCAAUUCACGACCAGUGCCUUGUCCCCAAUGUCACUGACGAAAUCGAUCGGGAGCUUGGCCAGCUCGGUGUCUUGGAUGACCCAUAUGAUGUAGUGGUUCGUUCGCUUGAAGCCUAAAGCCAGCUCAGUCAUUUGAGCCUGGUUGAAGGUGACCAUGCUUCCGAAUGCCACGUAGAUUACUGACUUUGGAGGCUUCGUGGCGAUCCAAGCGGUGGAGAUGGAUCGCUCUAGGGAAAAGAGGUCCACACCGUACUCUGCAUCGUCGUCGAUUCGACCGUCAAGGUAUGUAGAUGGAACAGUUGGUCCGAUCGCUAGAACUGGGCAGACCUUUGACAUUGUGUGUAGAGCCUGCAAUUGGGAACCACAGCCAAUAUGUUUCUACCUUCCCUGGACUUUAGCCCAAAGACAACGUAGCCCAAUGGAGCAAAUUAACUACUACUUUCGUUGAACUUCUAUCUAUGGCCCAAUAAAGAAAGCCCCAAAAGCAGAGUGGGGCAAAUAAAAUAUCUAAUUAGCAAAUAACUGUAACAAAUAAUAAAUUGAUAUAUUUGUAAAUAACAAAUAAUAACUGAAACACUCAUUAGAAAUAUAUAGUACAACAUUGAAGUCAAUUAAGGAAAAAUUAGAUUUUUUGAUGAUAAAAUUUAUAGUAUUAAAUUCCAACCAAAUUUUAUUGUUGUUGUUUUGUGGAGGCGAGUUUAUAGGAGUGUUAAGUCUUUUUCUUCUUUUUUUUUGGAAAGUUGUGUAAGAUGUGAUUGGUGUUUUGGCUAAAGUAACGGGGAGAAAUAAAAUUCUUUAAAAAAGUCGAUAUGUCGAAAAGGAUUUGUUGAGAAUCCUUAAUAUUUAUGGAGAUUUUUGUUCGAUAAAUGUUUAAAUAUUUGUCAUUAUAGAGAAGUUGAGAAAUUUUAUAAUUUUAUGAUUUGAUUUUAUAAUUACGAUUUUAUAUUACUUUUUGAUUGAAUAUUAAAUUAUCAAUUUCACUACUAUAUUAUUAUAUGUACGAAAAAAUCAUUUUCCCUUGAAAAUCACAUAAGUCUUCAUUUGAUACAUUACCAAAAGCAUGUUAUCCUUUGAUUCAAAGAAGAUGUUAUCCAUCAACAUCGGUUUUUUUAUAGCAGUUUACAACUAGUUUACGAUUAAGAGAUAGUUAACGACUAGUUUACCUCCUUCUCAAGCUCAUAGAACGUGUUGAUCAACACGUAAUCAGCCUUCUCCGUAUUCGAAAACUGAUUCACCACCAUCGCGAAAUAAGCCGGGUAAGCCUCUGGAGCAUUCACGAACGACGGCAUAUCCCGGGGCUCCAACUCGGGCAACCCCAGAAUACGAACCGGCCACGUAUCAACGGGCAGCUUCAGCAGCCCGUGCCGGAUAUUAUAAUAAAUAAAAUCCACAGCGCACGGCUGAGUGAAAAACGACGCUGCAUAAAGGCCAUGCUCUUUCGCCACGUCAAGCGCCCACGGCAAAAAUGGCUCGUAUACCAAGCAGCUGACCGGAUACGGCGUCGUUUUGUACUUUUCAACCAAAUCUGACAGCGUUUUGGAGCCGGCUUGUUCGAGGCGGCUCAGGUAGUGAUCGAUGGAAGAGGAGCUGGAGAAGCCUCCCUCGUCGAAGCCGUCGGAGAUGGUUUCGACAUGAACUGGACCGAUUGUGGGGCCGAAUUUCGAGGAGGAGAUGCUGAAGUUGGUGGUGAGUAAGGUGGUUCGGAGGCCUCGGGUUAUGAGGCGGCGGGCGAAGUGGAUCAUCGGGUUCAGGUGGCCUUGACCCGGGUAGGGGAGGAGGAAAACAUGGCCGUUUUGGGGUUCCAUGACUUUACUUUUGAGAGAGAAGAGGGAGAGAAAUGGAGAUUUGAGUGGCUUAGAUAUGAAGAGUUCGAAAGUGAAAUUAAAUAGUGAGGAAUGUGCGUGAUAAACCAGUAAAGUAGAGGAACCAGAAACAUUUGUGAAUUUAUACAAAAAAAUUAUAAAAUUUAACCAAAUUUGUACUGAAUUUGUAAGAGAUAGGUUUUUCAAUUGAGAAUGAUAUCCCAAAAUUUAACUUUGGCUACUUUCUUUAUUCUUUGCACCAUUUUCUCUUAUCCUUUUAGUUUUUCUAUCAACUUUAACAACUACAUAGGCCGGGCCCAUCUUAACUCGGGAACGGUACGAUGAAAAGGUUGUCGUUUCAAAAUUGUGAAGCUGUUUUUCAUUGGCUGGCAUUCGCUUAGACUUUCAUCGAUUGAGCAAAAAUAAGCUAAACACAACUACAGAAGAGAUGAUAUGAUGUGUUACCUUCUGUUGGUUUUUGUUUGUUUGGGUGGGGUAAUAGUUGUUUGACUCGGAGAACCGAUCAAGGUGAGUUGAGUCGGUUUGACCACCUUGGUGAUUCAAUUCGUCGUCUCUCAGUAUUUCACAGUACAAAGGCAAGUGGUGGAGAUACUAGGAAUAUUACCCGCUGGUAAGCAGAUGAUUUUACCGUCUGAAUUUUAGUAAGCAUGCAUACAUUCAUCCUACAUCUCUUCUAGUUGCUGCUGCAGCUUUGCUCUCUUGCGUGCCAACAUACGCUCUUUCGCUGCAUUGAUUGCAUCUUCCUUUCUCUUAUUAUUAUGGUCAGGAUUAGCUUCCUUAGCAGUCGUUGGCUCCGAGACAGGCUUAUCAGAUUCUGGCUUCAGAUCACCAUGCCUUUGAGAAUCAUGGUCUUGUAGUAUCUCGGUGUUUGAAGAAGAUCCUGAUGCUUUUGUCAAGUCGGGUAGUGAUGAAGAUGUUGUUGCCUUUGAUCCAUCCUGCUUCCCUACCUUGUUAGCUUCGGCGGCCCGCUUCUCUAGCCUCCUCAUCUCCGCAUCUUUACCACCAUAAGCAACAUUCUUGUUCAGGUUGAAGUAGAAGUCGCUCAGAUCACUCUUCUUGGUAACCUUCCAUGAAAUAAAACCACAAUGCAUAAAAUUAGAAGACAUUUAAGCCACGGAAAUAAGUCAGAGAAGAGACGAAAGAAGAGGAGAAGUUCGCUUACAUCGUCUUUCUGCUCUUUGAGUUCACGGAGCUUUUCUUCUUCCAGCCACUGGUUACGUUCAGCAAGUUUCCUCUUGUAGGCAUUUGUGACAUAUUUAUCGUUGUCAGCAUACAGAUGGUCAUCUAUGCUUCUCUCUUUAGCAAUUUUUCUCUCGUACACGAUCUCCUGUUGGCGUUCCCUUUCUAUAGCUUUCGCUUUCAGAGUCUCAAUAUACUUGGACUGCAAACAGUUCCACCAAAACAAUUGUCAGAAUUCCCGAACUAAGAGCCUAACACACGCAUCAGCAGCAAAGCACCUACGAACUCAGCUUGUUUCCAUCAUCAACUCAAGCUAUUAGAAGAAGGCAUGUGCCAAAAUUAUAGGAAUUCAACAAACAGAGUAGAACAAGACUUGUUUUACUACAUAGUGGAUUAUAUGUACUACUCUAGUGAAGCAUUCUAAAUUAUGAUUUAGUACCUUCGCGCAAGUGAAUUCUAACGGAUAAAUGCACAGUUAGAAACAUGGAUACCAUCAGAAGUAAAAACAACAAGUCCCAUUCAAGUUCCUAACUGAAAGACAAUAGGGAUCGGAGUUCUUAUCUUCGACAUGGAUAUAUUAUCGUUCUAUCAAUACAAGGAAGAUCAUAUCAGUCGGGCACCAAGGAAAAGUCGGAACAACAUCAAUGAAAGAAGAAAGAAUAAUCUUUAGGUUAGGAAUUCUGGCGAUGAGCUUUUAAGAAACAGGAGCCUCAUCAAGGAAAUAAAAAUCACGGAUGCAUAUAACUGUUAUUAUACUGCUAAAAUCAUAGAUUGCUAAUAACUGAAGCUGACAUUCCACAAGAAGAAACUAUUGGCCUCUACCACGUAAAUCAUAAGCAGAAGAAACUAUUGGCCUCUACGACAAAUCAUUCUGUACACUUGAAAACCUUAACUAGCAUAUCUUGUUAUAUAUUUCAAAUGCUCCUAGCUUAUACCCUUAUGCAGAAUAGUAGUAAAAAACGUACCUUUUUUUGUUCCUUAUCUUCAAUCCGUGGACGAACAAUUUUCUGCUUCAUCUCAUCGUAUACUCCAUCAUAAUCAAACACAGAGGGGUCUUCCUCCAACGCUUUCUUAUGCUGCUCCUCGAUCUUCAAAGCAUGGGAAAAAAACAACACAUAAAACUAAUAAGUGAUUGGAUAUAGAGUAGCAAUACGAUGAAGAGUUAUUAGAAUAGCUAAACUUACAUCCUUGUGAGACUUGGUCUUGGUAGCUUGCCGUGCAAUGUCUCGCUCGACAUUGUCCUCAUCUUCAUCACCAUCAUCGUUCAUGAACCCUAGGAGCUUGGGAGGAGGUGGCCUGGGUGGUUUUUUAUGCUGGGACGGCUGCACUCUCAGUUGCAAACCGUACUUCUUCAUCAUGUUAUUGGGCGAUCAGCGGUCAAACCCUCCGGUAGUUACCAAACCUGCGGUAGAGAUCUGAUCUAAUAUAGAAGAAGAAAACCAAAUAUCCAAUAGAAGAAGACGAAGAAGACGAAGAAGCGAAAAGAUGGCGAUCUGAUCUCGGAACUCAAAAAUCAAACCAUAGAAGAAGAAGGGUCGCCAUUAAUUAACACUUUGUAUAGAAGAAGAAAGAAGAUGAUCUGAUCUUGAACUGUUUGGUCAAUAGAUAAGACCUGGGUUUUCUCGACUUAUUAGCAUUUUUGGCACCUUAUCCAUUGAAAAAGUACAUUUUGAUACCUUAUAAAUAAUUUAUAACCAAUUGGUACCUUACCUAUUAAAAUGUAAUGAGAUGGUACUUCCAUCCAAUUUCGUCCACAAUUCCGUUAAGUUCCACCAAAUCAUGCUUUUCCGAGAACCCUCGAGCACAUACAGUGUUAGGGUCUUAAUUUUCAGAAGAAGAGUGGUUGGAGAAAAGUGACAACAAACGAUAGCUCUCUAAAAUAAAAUAUGGACAUAUAGGCGAUUAUUUUCCAAACUCUAAACUCCACAUUUUGAAAUUAUCUCCCAUAAUUGAUGUUCAUAGUUAGAUGUAUAUAUUGAUUCAUAGUUAGCAUCAUGAGUAAUCAAAUUUGCAACGAAUCAAACUUUCCAGGUAACGAUGUCUUUGAAUCAAACUUCAGUCAGAAGUUCAGCCAGCGCCACGUCAACAAGUUAACGGAAUUAUGGACGAAAAUUGGAUGGAAAUACAAUGUCAUUAUGUUUUAAUAGGUAAGGUACCAAUUGAUUAUAAAUGAUAGAUAAGGUAUCAAAAUGUAUUCUUUCAAUAGGUAAAGUACCAAUAAUGUCAAUAAGUUGGGUUUUUUCCGAACGAAAAAGGCUGGUUUUAAUUUAUAGAUUUUAGAAUUUAUUUAAUAUUAAAAAUGAUUGAACUGAUAUGAAAUUGCGGUUAAACCAUCAAACCACCUGCCAUUUAACUUUCCGAGAUUGCUUGUUAAGAACCCUGCUACAAUGCUGCUUGUGUUUUGGGAUAUGCUAUGCUUCAGCCUAAGUUUGAAUUUCUCCUGGGAUAUUACAGUCAAACACUAACAUUGGUAAUCAUUCGGCCGAUUGUAAGAAAAAGAAGACUGAAAGUUCUCAACUCUUCACUACUCUUCCCUCCUUCUUCUUCUUCUUCUUCUUCCUCCACAUCCAACCGACUUCGCGUCAUGAUCAUAAUCGUGAUGAUCGAUGAGACGCUGAUGAUGAUGAGGCAGUGGCGAGGAAAGCAAGGUAAUUAGGAUGGCAUUGCAGAUGAGGAACAUGUACUUCCUCUCCUCUCCAGAGUAUGUGGGAAGAAUGAGGACAAGACCAAUGGAUUCAAGUAAACAACAACAUAACGACUUCUACCCAUGUUGCUGUUAAUGCUUGAGAGGCAGAUGAGGAGGGACAAGAGGGAGAAUGUAAUCACAAGCUGUAAACUCCUUUUCAACAAGCUAAGUAAUGGUACUUCAUGCUCGUGCUGCUAUUCAUAUGAUGUGAUUGCAUUUUCUCAACUUGGGUUUCUGUAUCCAUUAUUGUAAUUAUAUUGAGCAGUGUGGGGAGGCUGGAACUUAGGUUGGUUUUUGUUAAAACUUUGUGUUUGUGUGAAUUCAGGGGAAAAGGUAACUUCUUUCCCAUUUUAUACCAGAAAAGUUUGUACGUGACCAUAUUAAUGUUUUUAAAAUCAAUUUCGUCAAAAGUACGGUUGAUGUUAUUAUACGCCGGCGGCAGUAUUCGGUAGCCGAUUCACGGAGACAGAUGACGCCACGUCUGCAAUUGGUGACAGAAUUCCAUCUAGCAGAGGAAACGGCGGUGGUGAUGCCACCUCCUCAGGCGGCGCGUGGGCAAAGGAGGAGGCGAUUCCGUUACGUACGAGAAGAAUUCGCGGCCGAAUUCCGUGAUCAGAGGGAGGCGGUGGUGGCGGAAUCCGCCGAAGAAUACGAGAUGAGGACUACCGGCGCUUCGGAAUUGGCAAUUCAGAAGCUGGAGAGGGUGGAGAUCGGCUGCGGGUGCGGCGGAGAGUGGAAACAGGGUGAUUGCUGCACAAUUUGUCUUGAGGAGAUGGGUUCCGGCGAAGGAAAGGUGAUAAGGUUUGAUUGCAAGCAUGAGUUCAAUGGAAGUUUCUUGAUUACUUGGCUUCAGCAAUCGAAUUGCUGCCCAUUGUGCCGAUUUCAGAUUCCAGGUUCAUAGACUUUCCCCUGUUUUCCAAUUUUGCUCUGUAGUUUUUCUAGCUUUUCAGAUUUUGGACUCACAAGACUUUGUUUAAUAGGGUCUUGGGGUUCUCGGUUCACUAAAGGAUGUGAAAAUUUGUAAUUCGAUAUUAUAACAUGUAAUUCUUGACCUAAUAAACUAUCAAAUUAGAUUAUAAUUUGUAACUUAAUGAAAUCACAAUUUACUGUUAAUUCGUUUUAAAAGUUGUAGUUCUUAACCUGAUAAAUUCUCAAUAUAAUUGAUUUAUUUUUUUUAUAAACUCACAACUCAAUUUACUAAUAAUAUAUGUGAGUAUAGAUCCUCGCAUUUUCAAGUUAUCUAAUGAUUAUGUAAAUCAAUUAAAUCAUAUAAUAAUUACGAUUUAUAAGAAGACUGAAUAAUAAAUAGGGACACAAACCAUACUUUUAUUUAUUUAUAACACUCCGUCAAUAACUUGACAAAUAUUAUGAUAAUAAAAUAACUUCACAAAUACACAAUAAAUACACCAUAACUCAAACUCUUUAUUCUUCUACGAAUUUUAUAUUUUACUCAUGUAAGAGUAUUUAUUAUUUUCGGAGAUCGAGUAACACAGACCAUAUAGGACAUUUCAUUAGCUCGCUAGCCAAUGAGCAUCCUUGUCUCGAAUGUUUUUUUGUGAGUAGUUAUCUUGGCGACGAAGUCAUCAAUGUUUCGAAACGAAGACCCGCCUUUCCCGACAGCUUUCACAACGGCCUCCCUCCAUUUGGUAGCAUUCUUCUUCAUCGCCAUCCCAGUCCCAUCCAUCACUUCUCUAAUGCACCUCUCGAUUUCAUCCCUCCCCACAACUCCGUUCUUUUCUGAAACCCUAACCCGAACUCCAACUUUCCAAACCUUCUCGACAAACGAUGCGUUGGCAGGCUGGUCGCUCCAUAUGGGCAUUGCAACCAUGGGAACUCCCAAACUUAACGCUUCAAUCGUCGAGUUCCACCCACAGUGAGUCAGGAAGCAACCAAUCGCCUUGUUUGCUAGUAUCUUCAGCUGAGGGCUCCAUUUCACCACUAGUCCUUUGUUGUCAUUUCCCGAGCUUUUGAGGAAUUGUUUCGGAAGCUUGGCUUGCUCGGUCUCUCUAACGACCCACAAGAAGUAGUGGGCCGUUUGCUUGAGCCCCAAGGCAAGUUCUUCCAUUUGCGUAUGAGUCAAGCUUGCCCGGCUCCCGAAUGCCACGUAGAUGACCGAGCUCAAUGGCUUGUUGGAGAGCCAUUUUAUGGGGAUGGACUCGUCAUGCUCGAAGAGAUCAAGGCCAUAUUUGCCAUUCUCAGUCAUGGAGGGUUUGGUGGUUAGGUAGUUGGAAGGGAUGGUUGGACCGAUCGGAAGAAUCGGACAUAUCUUUGAGAAUGUGUCCACAACCUAAAACCAACAUGUAAAUGUUAGUACAAGAAUUUAUAAAAUGUAAGUCUCGAAUUCAAAUCAAUUUUGAAAUAACUUAACUCGUAAAUUUCGAUAAAUUUACCUCUUUCUCGAGCUCAUAGAAGGUAUUGAUCAGAAAGCAAUCAGCCCUCUCAGCAUUAGAAAAUUGGUUCACCAACAAACCAAGGAAAUCCUUAGACGACACCGGAUCGACAAGAAACGACGGCGCAUCAGCCGCCUCCAUCACCGGCAGCCCGGGUAUCUCGACCGGCCAACCAUCCACGGGCAAACCCAAGGACCCGGCCCAGACAUUAUAAUAAACAUAGUCAACCGCACACGGCUGGGUGAAAAACGGCGCCGCGUAGAGCCCGUGCUCCUUUGCCACGUCAAGCGCCCACGGCAGAAACGGCUCGUACACCACGCAGUCAACGGGUUGGCCAAACGGCGCCGAUUUGUACUUCUCUAUAAGCUCCGACAGCGACCUGGACCCCACUUCUUUAGCUUUCUCGAGGUACUCCGGCAAGGUUCUGCCCUUGCCGUAGCGGCCGCUGUCGUCGAAGCCGUCAGAGAUGACGUCAUGAUGUACGUGGCCGAUUGUGGGGCCGAGCUUGAGGGAGUUGGAGAUGAAGACGGUGGUGACUAAGGUGGCUCUUAUGCCACGUGAGACUAGGCGGCGGGCGAAUUCGGUCAUUGGGUUGAUGUGGCCUUGGCCUGGGUAUGGGAGGAGGAUGACAUGACACUCUUCGCUAGAUUUUCUUUCCAUUUUGGAUUUUUGGGUCUCUUAGCUCUCUUACUGUUUUGGCUGAUGGUUUGUGUUUUGCUUGAUAGAGUGGUAUGUGUAUUUAUAGUGGUGUAAGUACAAUGGAGUAUUUGUAAGUACUUCUGGUUCUAACGGUUACAAAAAUUAAAUGUGCAUUGUAUUUAACCAUGUGUGUCACUGUUUUUGCUGGUUUGUUUGUUGGGUUUUUUUACUUUACAUGCAGUGAAAAAUGAGACACUUGGCAUGGGCAGCUAGGCAACGGUAUGUGUAUGGAUAAGUAUCUGGUCUAAUUGAGUGGAAUAGCUACUUAUCAUACUAAAAUUUUUAUCCUCAUUUCAAACUAACAUCUGCUCGUCCGUCGUGAUUCAAAAAACCCUUAUCAUUAUUCGAACUCCUCUCUUCUUCAUUAUUCGAAAAACGAUUCUCCUUUAUCAAUAUUUAGCAUCAAAUUACAUAUAAAUUUUGACGUAUUUCUAGUCUUACUAUGUGGUAUUUAAAGAUUGACUUCCCCGCUUUUAUGUUUCACAGUUAAAUCAUUUGAUGCUACAGGAAUUGAAACUCAAAGUAGUACUGUGACGUGGCAUGCCUUGCUGGAUUUUCUUUCCAGUUUGGACUUUGUUUCUCUUAGAUAGUUAGAUGUAUAUAUCUCUCAAUCACUAUGCAUGUACCUAACUUUGGGUUUGUUGGGUUUUUUAGUUUUACGUUACAUGCAGUGAAAAGUGGAAACACUUGGCAGAGUGCACUGGCCAACGGGACGUGUAUGGAUAAGUAUCUUUUUUUAUGUUUCAAACGGUUAUUUGUCUAUUAUGAUGCUGGUCACAUGGGGUAAAACGGGUAUUUUACCCUCUACUCGAGUUAUCUUCUCUUCGCUCGUUGUUUUGUUUGUCGUAAUUCGAAAGACUCUUAUCAUAUAUUGUUCGAACUCCUCUCUUCUUCCUUAUCUAGCUAACCACAACAUUGAGCGAGCUCCACCAAAAAGGGAAAUAUGGUAACAAUUGAAAUAAUUUUUUUUCGUAUUUGUCGAAAUUCCCUAUUUCAGAUUGAUUGUUGGUUUAUGGAUCUAGGUAUGAUUUACUUAACAUUUUAGAAGGUAAAUAACUGUGAACGGAGGUUAGGUGCGUUGCACCUAAAGAUCUAUUGUCCCCUAUAAAUUCGUAUAGGUUCUUGUUUGUUGAUAAGAAGAAACACAAAACCAAUUACACGUUACAGAAACAACUACACAAAUGCAAUCGAAGAAUAAGGUAGCAGUAGUUUCAGUCUUGGUCGUUCUUAUUCUCACGACGACUGUGAUGUUCGAUGGUUGCGUUGCUACUUGGACUGCCUCGGAAAUAGAGAAGAAGAACAACGGCGGAGUCGUCAUGAAUGUCUCGCCCAAGCCAACCGGCCCCCAGUUGCCAAACAAUUGGUGUUGCAACUCUUUCAUCGUUUGGUGCUGCUGAGACUAGCUAGAUUGUAUAAGUAAUAAGUGAUAGAGAUGUUUGAUGCUAUUUUGCAAUGUUAGAUUACAAUUGAUGAAUAAAAAGAUAUACGAUCCAUGUUCAUCUAUCUGUACUAGUACAAUAUUCUCUUUUCCAACUGAUGCAUAAAUUCUAUGAACCGUGAUUGCAAGAUGGUUUUUAACCUUUUACUGUGGUUGGUGACCUCAUUUAUUUAUAAAUUUCCGAGUUUUAGUGAAAGACAAACGUAACCCUCGAAUAUUAUUUCUUUUUUUGUUUCACUAGCCAGAUUAUUUGUUGAUUGUAAUUCCAAAAAUUAAUACUUUUGGGUUUUUUGGAAUUAUGUUCAGCAAAUAAUUCGAUUACGUAGACAGACAUGCAUAUGUAGCAUGUAUAAUUAACAUAUUAAACAAAAUUUGAUUAUAAGUUAUGCAUGAAUUUUUUAAAAUUUCAGGAAUAAUACGGACUAUCCAAAUGUUCAAAAUCCGUGAUACAUUGUUAGUUUUUUUAAUUAGUUUUAUGUUAAUGAUCGAGUGAACAAAACUAACAUAACUGUUUGUUUGACUAGUCAAAGAUGCCAUGCAAACUUUUUCAACAACAAAUAAAAAUAUACAUAUGGUAACAGUUGAAGUACUAUUUUCCUAUUUGGAGAAAUUCCCUAUUUCACAUUCAUUGUUGAUUUAUUGGUCAAGAUAUAGUGUAAUUAAUGUUUUUGAAAAUAAAUUAAUUGUAAAUGAAGGUCAGAUGCAUUGCAUCCUUUUUAUAAAUAAAUAAAUAAUUUGUUUGGAGAUAUAUCAUUAUCACCUAUAGUCCCUUAUAAAUUUGUAGCCUUCUUGUUGCUUGAUCACAACUCACCAGAAACACAAAUUAAAACCGUUUACACAUUACAGUAACAGAAGCCACUACAAAAUGCAAUCGAAGAAGGUAGAAGUGGUUUCAGUCCUCGUUGUUCUUAUUCUCAUGACGACCCUGAUGUUCGAUGGUUGCGUUGCUACUCAAACCGCCUCCGAAAUAGAGAGCAACAACAACGAUGGCGUCGUCAUGAAUGUGCCGGCCAAGUCAACCGGUCCCAACAAGCAAUGCUGGUGUUGUUUUUUCCCCGUCUUUUGGUGUUGCCCUUGCUCUGCAAAGACUAAAUAUUAGAUGAUUGAGUAAUAAGGGAGAGAGAUGUUUGAUGUUGUUUUGUAUUUUUAGAUUCCAACUGAUGAAUAAAAAUAUAUCUAAUCCGUGUUGAUUUAUAUGUACUAAUACAAUAACC